AACGAACGCUGGCGGCAUGCCUAACACAUGCAAGUCGAACGAGACCUUCGGGUCUAGUGGCGCACGGGUGCGUAACGCGUGGGAACCUGCCCUCAGGUUCGGAAUAACUCUCCGAAAGGGGUGCUAAUACCGGAUAAUGUCUUCGGACCAAAGAUUUAUCGCCGUUGGAUGGGCACGCGUUGGAUUAGCUAGUUGGUAGGGUAAAAGCCUACCAAGGCGACGAUCCAUAGCUGGUCUGAGAGGAUGAUCAGCCACACUGGGACUGAGACACGGCCCAGACUCCUACGGGAGGCAGCAGGGGGGAAUAUUGGACAAUGGGCGAAAGCCUGAUCCAGCAAUGCCGCGUGAGUGAUGAAGGCCUGAGGGUUGUAAAGCUCUUUUACCCGGGAAGAUAAUGACGGUACCGAGAGAAUAAGCGCCGGCUAACUCCGUG
rnacentral:rRNA from 1 species